rnacentral:rRNA from 1 species
ACAUCCAGCGAACUUGGCAGAGAUGCCUUGGUGCCUUCGGGAACGCUGAGACAGGUGCUGCAUGGCUGUCGUCAGCUCGUGUUGUGAAAUGUUGGGUUAAGUCCCGNAACGAGCGCAACCCUUUAUCCUUUGUUGCCAGCGAUUCGGUCGGGAACUCAAAGGAGACUGCCGGUGAUAAACCGGAGGAAGGUGGGGAUGACGUCAAGUCAUCAUGGCCCUUACGAGUAGGGCUACACACGUGCUACAAUGGCGCAUACAAAGAGAAGCGACCUCGCGAGAGCAAGCGGACCUCAUAAAGUGCGUCGUAGUCCGGAUCGGAGUCUGCAACUCGACUCCGUGAAGUCGGAAUCGCUAGUAAUCGUGGAUCAGAAUGCCACGGUGAAUACGUUCCCGGGCCUUGUACACACCGCCCGUCACACCAUGGGAGUGGGUUGCAAAAGAAGUAGGUAGCUUAACCCUCGGGAGGGCGCUUACCACUUUGCGAUUCAUGACUGGGGUGAAGUCGUAACAAGGUAGGCGUAGCGAG